CUUAAAUUUAAUUGAAUAUGUUUUUACAUUUUCAGGAAAGUCUGUGAAAAUCAGACACAGUACCCGCUACUGUAAUCGCUAGAACUAUUUUAAUUAUAGCCAUUCAUAUAAUUGGAGAAGGCCAAAAUAGUUUGUAACGCGUAAGUCAGGAUAUCUGAAUGGUGAAACUCAUAAAU
rnacentral:ncRNA from 2 species